CUCUGUCCAUUUCCCUCCCAAUCAUUAGAAUAAUAGAUUCCAAGUUCACAUCUUGGGCUGUGGCCGCGGCUUAGCCCAAGAUGUGAACUUGGAAUCUAUUAUUCUAAUGAUUGGGAGGGAAAUGGACAGAG
rnacentral:miRNA from 1 species